rnacentral:rRNA from 1 species
UAAUAGCUCACUGGUCGAGUCGGCCUGCGCGGAAGAUGUAACGGGGCUAAACCAUGCACCGAAGCUGCGGCAGCGACGCUUAUGCGUUGUUGGGUAGGGGAGCGUUCUGUAAGCCUGUGAAGGUGUACUGUGAGGUAUGCUGGAGGUAUCAGAAGUGCGAAUGCUGACAUAAGUAACGAUAAAGCGGGUGAAAAGCCCGCUCGCCGGAAGACCAAGGGUUCCUGUCCAACGUUAAUCGGGGCAGGGUGAGUCGACCCCUAAGGCGAGGCCGAAAGGCGUAGUCGAUGGGAAACAGGUUAAUAUUCCUGUACUUGGUGUUACUGCGAAGGGGGGACGGAGAAGGCUAUGUUGGCCGGGCGACGGUUGUCCCGGUUUAAGCGUGUAGGCUGGUUUUCCAGGCAAAUCCGGAAAAUCAAGGCUGAGGCGUGAUGACGAGGCACUACGGUGCUGAAGCAACAAAUGCCCUGCUUCCAGGAAAAGCCUCUAAGCAUCAGGUAACAUCAAAUCGUACCCCAAACCGACACAGGUGGUCAGGUAGAGAAUACCAAGGCGCUUGAGAGAACUCGGGUGAAGGAACUAGGCAAAAUGGUGCCGUAACUUCGGGAGAAGGCACGCUGAUAUGUAGGUGAAG